UAAUGCGAUCAUACCAGCACUAAUGCACCGGAUCCAUCAGAACUCCGAAGUUAAGCGUGCUUGGGCAGAGUAGUACUAGGAUGGGUGACCCCCUGGGAAGUCCUGUGUGUCCACCAA
rnacentral:rRNA from 1 species